UAAGGGCUUGAAUGAAUGGUUUGACGAAGUAUAUGCUUUCUUAAAAUUAAUUUAUGAAUUUAAUUUUUCAGUCAAAAAGCUGAAAUGUUAUAGUGGGACGAGAAGACCCUAUAGAUCUUGACUUUUAUUUUAUUUAUGUAGUUUGGAUGUAAAAUUAAUUUAAGUGUAAUAGAAGUUAAAUUGGGGUGAUUGUGGAAUUUUAAUAACUUCUGUUUAUAUUCAUCAUUAAUUAGUGAUUAUAGUGAUCCAGUAGUAUUGAUUAUAAGAUUAAGUUACCUUAGGGAUAACAGCGUAAUUUCUUUGGAUAGUUCAUAUUGAUAAAGGAGUUUGCGACCUCGAUGUUGGAUUAAAAUAAGUAACGGGUGCAUCAGUUCGUUGGCUAGG
rnacentral:rRNA from 1 species